rnacentral:rRNA from 1 species
GUGCCAGCAGCCGCGGUAAUACGUAGGUGGCAAGCGUUACUCGGAAUCACUAGGCGUAAAGCGCAGGUAGGCGGUUUGAUAAGUCUCUUGUGAAAGCUCCCGGCUUAACUGGGAGAGGUCAAGGGAAACUGUCAGGCUAGAGUGUGGCAGAGGAAACUGGAAUUCCCGGUGUAGCGGUGAAAUGCGUAGAUAUCGGGAGGAAUACCUAUGGCGAAAGCAGGUUUCUGGGCCGUCACUGACGCUGAGCUGCGAAAGCUAGGGGAGCAAACAGGAUUAGAUACCCCUGUAGUCC